AGAGUUUGAUCCUGGCUCAGAUUGAACGCUGGCGGCAUGCUUUACACAUGCAAGUCGAACGGCAGCACGGGUGCUUGCACCUGGUGGCGAGUGGCGAACGGGUGAGUAAUGCACCGGAACGUACCCAGUAAUGGGGGAUAACACAUCGAAAGAUGUGCUAAUACCGCAUACGCCCUGAGGGGGAAAGCGGGGGAUCGUAAGACCUCGCGUUAUUGGAGCGGCCGAUGCCGGAUUAGCUAGUUGGUUAGGUAAGAGCUCACCAAGGCGACGAUCCGUAGCUGGUCUGAGAGGACGACCAGCCACACUGAGACUGAGACACGGCCCAGACUCCUACGGGAGGCAGCAGUGGGGAAUUUUGGACAAUGGGCGCAA
rnacentral:rRNA from 1 species